GCCUCCUUCGUACUCCCGUUUCCUUCACCCCUCAUCUCUCCUGCCCUGCGCCUCUGUCCAAGAACCAAAGAUUUGAAAGGGACACUUUCACACCCCACGCCCAGCCAGCCGCACCAACGACCACAAUCACACCUCUGACUUCUGCGUUGAUCAUCCACGAACAGGAUAUGAGUCGCAUAUUCAAACAACAAAAGAUCGACAAAGCGGCAGGCCCAGACCUUGUGUCCCCAUCCUGCCUCAAAGUCUGCGCGGACCAGCUCGCUCCAGUCUUCACACAGAUCUUCAAUAUUCAUUCAUUCAUCUUCCGUUCCACUUAUCCCCACUAGGGUUGCGGGGGCGCUGGAGCCUAUCCCAGCUAUCUUCGGGCGAAAGGCGGGGUACACCCUGAACUGGUCGCCAGCCAAUCACAAGGCACAUAGAAACAAGCAACCAUUCGUACUCACAUACACACCUACAGGCAAUUUAGAGUCUCAAAUUAAUGCAUGUUUUUGGGAUGUGGGAGGAAACCGGAGUGCCCGAAGAAAACCCACGCAGGCACGGGGAGAACAUGCAAACUCCCCACAGGCGGGGCCGGGGAUUGAACCCCGGUCCUCAGAACUGUGAGGCAGACGCUCUAACCAGUCGAACACCGUGCCGCCACAAUAAGGUGUAAUAUAACAAAAAAAAAGGGGUUAUUUUAAGGUGCAUAUGCAAAUGACAUGCCCAAAAUUAUAUGUUAACUGUCGUCUUGUCCACUGUCUUGUUUGUUGUUCUAAGUAAACAGUAAACAGUAAACUUCAUGUUCAAACGGC